rnacentral:rRNA from 1 species
GACGAACGCUGGCGGCGUGCUUAACACAUGCAAGUCGAACGGAAAGGCCCUGCUUUUGUGGGGUGCUCGAGUGGCGAACGGGUGAGUAACACGUGAGUAACAUGCCCUUGACUUUGGGAUAACUUCAGGAAACUGGGGCUAAUACCGGAUAGGAGCUCCUGCUGCAUGGUGGGGGUUGGAAAGAUUCGGCGGUUGGGGAUGGACUCGCGGCUUAUCAGCUUGUUGGUGAGGUAGUGGCUUACCAAGGCUUUGACGGGUAGCCGGCCUGAGAGGGUGACCGGCCACAUUGGGACUGAGAUACGGCGCAGACGCCUACGGGAGGCAGCAGUGGAGAAUAUUGCACAAUGGGCGGAAGCCUGAUGCAGCAACGCCGCGUGCGGGAUGACGGCCUUCGGGUUGUAAACCGCUUUCGCCUGUGACGAAGCGUGAUUGACGGUAAUGGGUAAAGAAGCACCGGCUAACUACGUG